GGAAUAUUGCACAAUGGGCGCAAGCCUGAUGCAGCGAUGCCGCGUGGGGGAUGACGGCCUUCGGGUUGUAAACCUCUUUUGUCGGGGAGCAAAGCCGCCACGUGUGGCGGGUUGAGAGUACCCGAAGAAAAAGCAGCGGCUCACUCCGUGCCAGCACCCGCGGUAAUACGGAGGAUGCGAGCGUUAUCCGGAUUUAUUGGGUUUAAAGGGUGCGUAGGCGGACGAUCAAGUCAGCGGUCAAAUGUCGGGGCUUAACCCCGGCCUGCCGUUGAAACUGGUUGUCUUGAGUGAGCGAGAGGUAUGCGGAAUGCGUGGUGUAGCGGUGAAAUGCAUAGAUAUCACGCAGAACCCCGAUUGCGAAGGCAGCAUACCGGUGCUCAACUGACGCUGAUGCACGAAAGCGUGGGGAUCAAACAGG
rnacentral:rRNA from 1 species